AUGAGAAAGAAUGGAGAUCACCUAUCCCAUAUUCUAUGUCUCAUUGUACAUUUGAGUACAGAGUUUGCUGAUUCCUUAAGAAAAGGCUCAUUAUGGUUGGAUGUCUAAUUGUUUAGGAAGUAAAGAUGGUGCCUUAUACCUAAAAAUUGGUGGUCAAUUUUUGGGAUUUGGUCUUGUUUAGGUUUGAACAUCAAGGUUGCGCCUUAAAAGGUGCUACUACGUGAAGGACUAUUUCAACAUUUUAGAGCAUUCUCUAUUUUCCAUUCUGUUGGAAUGUGUUAUGGUAUUAUCUUGUUUUAUCUGAUAUGGUAGGAAAGAUUUUAUCAAAUAUCUUAAUACAUUAAUAUUACUAUGGACUUUGGUACAAAAAGGUGUAGAGCUUCAGGCACAAAGAGAAACAUCAGCCCCCAUCGUCCUAUGAUCCAUUUGUCUCCUCUAAGAUUGGUUCCAUGAUGCAAUAAUUUUCACAGAAGGAAAUCAGGGUGGGUUUGGUGUUGUAGCACAUGACUAUGAAGGCACGGUCAUGAUUCAGGCGUAACUCAGCAUUCACGGUCACCUAGGCCAGCAUCACACGAUCACGAUAGGCACUAUGGACCAUCUGACUCAACCAACUUGGCACGAUGGCUUGGUUACAUCAGACCUCAUGGCCUUCUCUUUAAAAUUCUUGGGCUAUAUUUUAGUUAUCAUUUGGUUAUCAUCAUUAAGAGUAGUUACUUAGUGAGUUAGUUAUAACCUCAUUGCCUUAGAGUUUGCUUGUUUAUCAAGCAACCCUGUUUUUCAUUACCUUAUAUAAAAGGAAUUAGAGCUUAUGCCUCCAUU